UCCCUCUUAUUAUAAAACGCGGUAUCAAAUAAGUAUCGGCUUUUGUACUACCUUUAAUCCAGCUGUAAGUACGACCUUGAAAAAACGUUAUUACAAAACGCAGUUUAUCGCAAGUCCUAUUACUAUCUGUAGUACAAAAGAUAAACCAUCGAGCCCCCUAGUUUAACUGCAGUACUUAGUCGACAAACGUCAAAUUCCGUAAUUAUUUACUUUUGAGGUUAUCUGUUUUGUGAUGAAAAAAACGAAAGUGGAUAUAAAUAUGUGUGAUUUGGAAUACUUGGAUGUGUUAGAAUACUAUUGAGAGUGUCCGGGGACCCAACAGUGUGCGUCAUCGACAAAAUCUCUUCAAAUUAUCUGAUGACAAUUUUCGAUAUAAAUAUCGAUUUAUGUUUUUCGAAAUAAUAGUCAUGAUGAUAAUCCAUGAUGAUCCUAUGAUGCUCAACUGGGCUCGCCAUAAGAUUCAAGACUAUUUUGGCGUUUUGCACGCCGUAUCUUUGCCAGUAAUAUGCAAUGUUUGUAAAAGACUGGAAGCUUGCUAAAAUGUACCUAGGUACAAAAAUGCCAAGAUGAGCAAGGGAACAAGAUUGUGUGAUGAAGAACAGUGUUCAACAUGUAUCAGUGCGUUUGACUGUAUAAAUAGACAUCGGAAUAAAAUAUAAUUUUGUACUUU